rnacentral:rRNA from 1 species
CAGCUAGUUGGUAGGGUAAAAGCCUACCAAGGCAUCGAUCAGUAGCUGGUCUGAGAGGACGACCAGCCACACUGGAACUGAGACACGGUCCAGACUCCUACGGGAGGCAGCAGUGGGGAAUUUUGGACAAUGGGCGCAAGCCUGAUCCAGCAAUGCCGCGUGAGUGAAGAAGGCCUUCGGGUUGUAAAGCUCUUUUGUCAGGGAAGAAACGGUGAAGGCUAAUAUCCUUUGCUAAUGACGGUACCUGAAGAAUAAGCACCGGCUAACUACGUGCCAGCAGCCGCGGUAAUACGUAGGGUGCAAGCGUUAAUCGGAAUUACUGGGCGUAAAGCGUGCGCAGGCGGUUUUGUAAGUUUGUCGUGAAAUCCCCGGGCUCAACCUGGGAAUGGCGAUGAAGACUGCAAGGCUAGAAUCUGGCAGAGGGGGGUAGAAUUCCACGUGUAGCAGUGAAAUGCGUAGAGAUGUGGAGGAACACCGAUGGCGAAGGCAGCCCCCUGGGUCAAGAUUGACGCUCAUGCACGAAAGCGUGGGGAGCAAACAGGAUUAGAUACCCUGGUAGUCCACGCCU